ensembl:lincRNA
GAGCGACAUAACUGCAGCAUUUUUUUUCCCCCAGAAAAACCAAGAAAUGAACUGAAAAACUAAACAAGAAAAAGUCCUAUAAGAAGAUGGUCUGAUAAGUGCUGUGAGAUCGUGUUUUUCUCAUUUUAUACCUGAUCUCUCCUAACCUGGGUAGGACAACCUUGAUCAGAGUGACUGUGGAUCACAUUUCGAAUGUGCUGGCAACUCCCCGUCCCCGAGGGAUUUUCAAGGAGUCAGGAAACGAGAAUCGAUCCUCACGGGCAGUGGACACUACCAGUGGGAUUUGGCAGCCCUUCCCGGAGCUGGUGCUUGCCUUCCUCAGGCCCCUGGGGCCCGUCCCCUCGAGGCCUCCUGCAGCCGUCUCCAAGCUUUAGACACUCCUGUGAAGCUGUGAGGCCGCCUCGCUCCGCUCUGACCUCGUCUCCCUGGCGUGGAGAAGGCCCCUCUGCUGCUCGUCCUCCCUGCAUGGGGCCCCCAGGUACCAGGGCACCGAAGCGCAGUAACGGGCGCAGAGCGUGAGCGAGAACGGCCCCACCCCGGGCUGGCCGCCCCCACGCCGUGGGCUCGCCUUGACACACCGCUGUGGUCCACUGAGGACUCGGGCAGGCCCGCGGCCCUCGGCACACC